rnacentral:rRNA from 1 species
UACAGAGGUCCCAAGCGUUGUUCGGAUUCACUGGGCGUAAAGGGUGCGUAGGCGGUUUGGUAAGUCUUGUGUGAAAUCUACAGGCUCAACUUGUAGUCUGCACGAGAAACUGCCGGGCUUGAGUAUGGGAGAGGUGAGUGGAAUUCCUGGUGUAGCGGCGAAAUGCGUAGAUAUCAGGAGGAACACCUGUGGCGAAAGCGGCUCACUGGACCAUAACUGACGCUGAUGCACGAAAGCUAGGGGAGCAAACAGG